GACGAACGCUGGCGGCGUGCUUAACACAUGCAAGUCGAACGGAAAGGCCCUGCUUUUGUGGGGUGCUCGAGUGGCGAACGGGUGAGUAACACGUGAGUAACCUUCCCUUGACUGUGGGAUAACUUCAGGAAACUGGGGCUAAUACCGGAUAGGAGCUCCUGCUGCAUGUUGGGGGUUGGAAUGUUUCGGCGGUUGGGGAUGGACUCGCGGCUUAUCAGCUUGUUGGUGGGGUAGUGGCUUACCAAGGCUUUGACGGGUAGCCGGCCUGAGAGGGUGACCGGCCACAUUGGGACUGAGAUACGGCCCAGACUCCUACGGGAGGCAGCAGUGGGGAAUAUUGCACAAUGGGCGGAAGCCUGAUGCAGCAACGCCGCGUGCGGGAUGACGGCCUUCGGGUUGUAAACCGCUUUCGCCUGUGACGAAGCGUGAGUGACGGUAAUGGGUAAAGAAGCACCGGCUAACUACGUG
rnacentral:rRNA from 1 species